GGCAGAAUCCAGUGUCAGAUGACAGGAUAAGAAGGUCCUUUACUCAGUGCUGCAUCUAGGAGGAAUUCUUACUGUCUUUUGUCUUACAUACUGACAGCUCGCUGAGGUGAAUGACUUUGUCUGUUUGGCUGAUCACUGUGACCCCAAUGUUUGCACAGUUGAUACCAGGUUACAAAAUCACCCAGGAGACACCCUCCUGGCCGUGCCUGCACAGAUAUUUCCAGAGAAGUUUAACUGAGGAAGGAAGACAUCCCGAAUGCAAGUGGCACCCAUCCCACAGGCUAGAGUCUGAAUGAAAAAGGCAACAGAGAAAGAUAGCUGAACACCAGCAUUCAUCUCUGGCUGCUCCCUGGUCCACCCAGAGGAAGCAGCUUCCUGUUCCUGCCACCACGCCUUCCCCAUCCUGAUGAAUAGUGUCCUUCUCAAACUGUAAGCCAGUUCCUUUGAGUCAGUAUGUUGUCAUAGCAACCAGAGAACCAAGUAGAACUGACAGGUUGUCACAAGACACACAGGAAAGGAGAUGGAAUAGAGAAUGGGCUAAGCAGAGCAGCUUGUAAGAAUUCAGGAUAAUGGGGCUCCCCAGUCCCCCAACAAACAACACUCACGUUUUUUUCUCACAGCAUGGUUAUGACACUCUAAGAUAAAACGUAUCCACAUACAAAUGAGAACUACCUUUUAUUAAGUGGUAAGAGGAGUUUUAACCUCAAGAUACAGCUAGGAAAUGAACUGACACGUGAACAUUAGGAUUGGUUAUCUUGAAGUCAUAGGAAAAAUACAUAUAUAUAUAUAUAUAUACAUAUACAUAUCACAAAAA
rnacentral:lncRNA from 1 species